CGCCCCCCUCGUGGUCUGUGAUGUAAUUUGCUACGAAACCCAUUGCCACAAACGCAGCCGGCUCCGCCUCUUCUUCCUCCUCCUCAUCUUCCUCAUCUUCCUCUUCUUCCUCCUCAUCUUCCUCUUCCUCUUCCUCCUCAUCUUCCUCUUCUUCUUCCUCUUCCUCCUCCUCCUCUUCCUCUUCUUCCUCCUCCUCAUCUUCUUCCUUCUCUUCUUCCUCAUCUUCCUCUUCCUCUUCCUCUUCCUCCUCAUCUUCCUCCUCCUCAUCUUCCUCUUCCUCUUCUUCCUCUUCUUCCUCCUCCGUCUCAUCUUCCUCUUCUUCCUCCUCCUCAUCUUCCUCAUCUUCUUCCUCCUCUUCCUCCUCAUCUUCCUCUUCCUCCUCCUCAUCUUCCUCUUCCUCUUCUUCCUCCUCAUCUUCCUUUUUCCUCUUUUCUUCCUCUUCUUCCUCCUCAUCUUCCUCAUCUUCUUCCUCUUCUUCCUCCUCAUCUUCCUCUUCCUCUUCUUCCUCUUCCUCCUCAUCUUCCUCUUCUUCUUCCUCCUCAUCUUGCUUUUCCUCUUCUUCCUCUUCUUCCUCCUCCUUCUCAUCUUCCUCUUCUUCCUCCUCAUCUUCCUCUAACUCUUCUUCUUCCUCUUCCUCCUCCUCAUCUUCCUCUUCCUCUUCUUCCUCCUCAUCUUCCUCUUUUUCCUCUUCUUCUUCCUCUUCCUCCUCCUCAUCUUCCUCUUCUUCCUCAUCUUCCUCUUCCUCUUCUUCCUCCUCCUCUUCCUCUUCUUCUUCCUCUUCCUCUUUUUCCUCUUGUUCCUCUUCCUCCUCCCCUUCAUCUUCCUCUUCCUCUUCUUCUUCCUCCUCUUCCUCCUCAUCUUCCUCUUCCUCUUCCUCCUCCUCAUCUUCCUCUUCUUCCUCUUCCUCUUCUUCCUCCUCAUCCUCCUCAUCUUCCUCUUCUUCCUCUUCCUCCUCCCCUUCACCUUCCUCUUCCUCCUCCUCUUUCUCUUCUUCUUCCUCCUGUUCCUCUUCCUCUUCCUCCUCCUCCUCUUCCUCAUCCUCUUCUUCUUCCUCCUCUUCAUCGUCUUCUUCUUCCUCUUCUUCCUCUUCCUCUUCUUCCUCUUCUUCUUCCUCCUCCUCAUCCUCCUCCUCCUCAUCUUCCUCUUCUUCCUCCUGUUCCUCUUUUUCUUCCUCUUCUUCCUCCUCUUCAUCAUCUUCUUCCUCUUUUUCUUCUUCCUCUUCUUCUUCCUCCUUCUGUUUCUCCUCCUGUUCCUUCUCUUCUUCCUCUUCUUCCUCCUCCUCUUCCUCUUCAUCCUCUUCUUCCUCAUCCUCCUUUUCUUCCUCCUCCUCCUCUUCCUCUUCUUCCUCCUCCUCCUCUUCCUCAUCCUCUUCUUCUUCCUCCUCUUCAUUGUCUUCUUCUUCCUCUUCUUCCUUUUGGUCUUCUUCCUCUUCCUCCUCUUCCUCCUCAUCUUCCUCCCCUUUUUCCUCCUCAUCUUCCUCUUCCUCCUCUUCUUCUUCCUCCUGUUCCUCUUUUUCUUCCUCUUCUUCUUCCUCCUCAUCUUCCUCUUCCUCCUCAUCGUCUUUUUCUUCCUCUUCUUCUUCUUCAUCUUCUUCUUCUUCCUCCUUCUCUUCUUCCUCCUGUUCCUUUUCUCCUUCCUCAUCUUCCUCAUCCUCCUCAUCGUCCUCUUCAUUGUCUUCUUCCUCUUCUUCCUCUUCCUCUUCCUCCUCCUCCUCCUCUUCCUCUUCUUCCUCUUCCUCCUCUUCAUCUUCUUCGUCUUCUUCCUCUUCUUCCUCCUCCUCCACAUCUUCCUCUUCCUCCUCCUCUUCCUCCUCUUCUUCCUCCUGUUCGUUUUCAUCCUCUUCUUCCUCCUCCUCCUCUUCCUCCUUCUCUUCUUCCUCUUCCUCAUCCUCUUCUUCCUCUUCCUCCUCCUCCUCCU
ensembl:lncRNA